ensembl:misc_RNA Y_RNA Y RNA
AAAAUAUCCAAGGCUGGCUUAUAGCUUAUCACAACCAUUUACGAAUUUAUUUGUUCCUUCUCCACUCCCACUGCUUCACUUGACUGG